rnacentral:lncRNA from 1 species
GAAACAGGGCAACUCACCGGUUGCCCUUGUUCCCAACCGUGACACCGCCGACUCCUCCUUCUCCACCGCUGUCGCUGCUUCUCAGCCGCACGAUCACCGCCGCACCGCCGUUGCCAGCAUCGCCAGCGGCUCCGGCUGUGGUGCGAUAGAAACAGAGCACCCUAUUUCCCAUCUCCAGCAUCGUAACUUCCCGGCCAGCGACGACGCUCGCUGCCUUUUUCUCCACCGCCA